AUUGAACGCUGGCGGCAGGCCUAACACAUGCAAGUCGAGCGGUAGCACAGAGAGCUUGCUCUCGGGUGACGAGCGGCGGACGGGUGAGUAAUGUCUGGGAAACUGCCUGAUGGAGGGGGAUAACUACUGGAAACGGUAGCUAAUACCGCAUAAUGUCGCAAGACCAAAGUGGGGGACCUUCGGGCCUCAUGCCGUCAGAUGUGCCCAGAUGGGAUUAGCUAGUAGGCGAGGUAACGGCUCACCUAGGCGACGAUCCCUAGCUGGUCUGAGAGGAUGACCAGCCACACUGGAACUGAGACACGGUCCAGACUCCUACGGGAGGCAGCAGUGGGGAAUAUUGCACAAUGGGCGCAAGCCUGAUGCAGCCAUGCCGCGUGUGUGAAGAAGGCCUUCGGGUUGUAAAGCACUUUCAGCGGGGAGGAAGGCGUUAAGGUUAAUAACCUUGGCGAUUGACGUUACCCGCAGAAGAAGCACCGGCUAACUCCGUGCCAGCCGCCGCAGUAA
rnacentral:rRNA from 1 species